rnacentral:rRNA from 1 species
GAUGAACGCUGGCGGCGUGCCUAAUACAUGCAAGUCGAGCGAAUGGAUUAAAAGCUUGCUCUUAUGAAGUUAGCGGCGGACGGGUGAGUAACACGUGGGUAACCUGCCCAUAAGACUGGGAUAACUCCGGGAAACCAGGGCUAAUACCGGAUAACAUUUUGAACCGCAUGCUUCGAAAUUGAAAGGCGGCUUCGGCUGUCCCUUAUGGAUGGACCCGCGUCGCAUUAGCUAGUUGGUGAGGUAACGGCUCACCAAGGCAACGAUGCGUAGCCGACCUGAGAGGGUGAUCGGCCACACUGGGACUGAGACACGGCCCAGACUCCUACGGGAGGCAGCAGUAGGGAAUCUUCCGCAAUGGACGAAAGUCUGACGGAGCAACGCCGCGUGAGUGAUGAAGGCUUUCGGGUCGUAAAACUCUGUUGUUAGGGAAGAACAAGUGCUAGUUGAAUAAGCUGGCACCUUGACGGUACCUAACCAGAAAGCCACGGCUAACUACGUGCCAGCCGCCGCGGUAA